GCGCUGAAAUCAAGAGUCAGACGCUCAACUGACUGAGCCACCCAAGCACCCCCUGAUCUAUUUUACUUCUAUAUUUUUAUCCAAGUCAAAGAAGAAAGGAGACCGAGAAACCAAUUCAGGAGAGUGAAAAGAAGAGAGCAGAAGGGUGGAUGCAGUCAGGAACUCAGCGUUCUCCUUGCAUCUCUGCCACAAAUUUGCCGUGUGUGAUCCAGGAAGAAUCACCCAGCCUCUCAGAACUUUGGCUCCUACAUCUGCAAAAAGAGGUGACUAGAUAACCCUGAAGGUCUUCUCCAGCUUUCAAAUAUUAGCCCAUAGUAGGUGUUCCCUCAGUAAUUACGAAGCAGCGAGAGAGUGAGCGGUUGUGGACCAAUGUCACACAUUUGGAUGAAAGCCGGAAAUGGAGAGGGAUUGCAUGGCUGAAUCAAGUCCACUUCAGAUUUCUCAUUUCUCCUUGGUGUAUUAUUCUGUGGACACUAAGGUAUGACAGGAUCCCUCAGAAAACAGCUGUGCCUCCUCAUCUCUGUGGCCCCAGGAUAUUGAGAAACCAAGCUGAAUAUAAAAUCCUCAAAAUCCUCCCAGCAACCUGUUGAAGUCGGUACUAUUACUGAUUCAUUUUGCCACACAAAGACAUCAGGUCUCAGAGAUGCUAUGUAACUUGUCUAGAGUCACACAGCUAGUGAGUCAUAGAACAGAGAUUUGGACCUACAGACUUCCACUCAACGUCUGUGCUCUUCCCACUCCUCUGUUCUGUAAGCCUCUCCACAACCUCCUUUAAUCUUCUGAACAACUCAGUGAAAUGGGCAGGGAAGGCAUCAUCAUGGCUUCUCUACAGAUGAGGAAACCGAGGCUUGAACGAGGACAGUCCCUUCCCCAGCCUAUGUGACUAGACGUUGGUGGAGCUGAUGAGAGAGUUCCCAGCUUUGGAUUCUGGAUGUGAGCCUCUGCACAGCCACAGGCUGCCUGCCCCCAGUUGGUGACCGGCCGGUGUCUCACCUGCUGCAGGGGACAACCUUAAUAAAGGAGAGGGUCCCCGGGCUGUUGCAACACUUGAGGAAUUCGUGUGCCUCUCAGGCCCCGUCUGAGCCCCUCACCACAGAGGUGAGGAGUGACAAGGGACAUCUCGGCUCCCAAGGGAUUCCAGUCACGCGAACUCCUCCAAUUAAGGCUGGAACGAUGUCAUCUCCUGAAAUAGCAUUUUAAUGAGUGAUGGCUCUGGGAUAAAUUGUCAUCUCGUGAUCUCUCGUUAGAGAGCUUAAUUAGACCCAUCAUAAAACAUAUUGAUCGAUGGCACGGAGCAGGUCCACAGGACAUCCACCACCCGCUGGAACAUUCCUGCCCACUGCUUGGUGGAGCCAGUGUGGGACCUGUCCCAGGCCCUGACAGCUGCUGGGGCACAGUUUCUUUUUGAGCACUUGGGCACCAUUUGCCAGGUUCUUUCUUCCCUCCCUUCUUUCCUUUUACAAAUAUUUAUUUAGCACCAACUGUAUACCAGGCACUGUCAUGCCCUCUUAUGCUUUAACCCAUUUUGUCUUCACAAAAAGCUGUUCUUUCCUUAUUUUGCAAAUGGUAAAACCAAGGCUUGGAACCCCGAGCUAUACUAGGCGCAGCCCCAGCCUACUGAGUUCUCUUUCUAGCAAUUUCUGGUGGAGUGGCUCACAUAAGAAGAACAAAAGGGGAAAUUGAAGGAAAAAUGGUCUUUAUUAAACUCCUAAUGCGUGCCUGCCACUCUACGAGGCACAUUAUUUUAUAAUCAUGUCCCCUUUAACCUUUAUAUCAAUCCCACAAGGUGAGAGAAUUUUCAUCAUUUUAUAGUUGAGGAAACUGAGUCUCAGAUAUGUUACUUGCUCAAAGUCACUCAGCCAGUGACUCUCAGUGCUGGGACUGGAACACAGCUUUGAGGGAUUACCAGUCCAGACAGACGAUCGUUCAAAUCCAAGCCCUGUCGUAUAUUAGCUGUAUAAUUUGGGGCACAUUACCCAAGCCUUCUGAAUAUCAUACUGGAUGUAAUAACUGGACCCCUCUCAGAGUUAUUGUGAGGAUUAAAUGAAAUACUGCCUAUAAAGCAUUUAGAUAGUCUCUGACCCAUGGAAAGUGUUCAGUAAAAAUUAGUUUUCGAUGAAUACCCCAACUGUUUUCUCUUGGAAAGAAACUACCUGUUUCUUCAUCCAUAAAAUGGGGGUAGAACCCCUGUCCUAAAACAAUUCAUAGGGAAUGCUUUAUACAAGAUAAAGUAGCCCAACUGCCCUUAUGUUUUAUAAUGCUUAUUUCUUCAUUUUGAGAGAGAAAGAGAGAGAGAGAGAUUGAGGGAGGGAGAGAGAGAAAAUGGAAAGGACAAAGAGAGAGGGAGACAGAG